rnacentral:rRNA from 1 species
UACGUAGGGGGCAAGCGUUGUCCGGAAUCAUUGGGCGUAAAGCGCGUGUAGGCGGCUCGGUAAGUCCGCUCUGAAAGCCCGGGGCUCAACCCCGGGAGGCGGGUGGAUACUGCUGAGCUCGAGUCCGGAAGAGGAGUGUGGAAUUCCUGGUGUAGCGGUGAAAUGCGUAGAGAUCAGGAAGAACACCGGUGGCGAAGGCGUUCUGCUAGGCCGCAACUGACACUGAGGGACGAAAGCUAGGGGAGCGAAUGGG